rnacentral:rRNA from 1 species
CUUGCUCUCUGAUUUUAGCGGCGGACGGGUGAGUAACACGUGGGCAACCUGCCCUACAGAUGGGGAUAACUCCGGGAAACCGGGGCUAAUACCGAAUAAUCAGUUUGUCCGCAUGGACAAACUCUGAAAGACGGUUUCGGCUGUCACUGUAGGAUGGGCCCGCGGCGCAUUAGCUAGUUGGUGGGGUAAUGGCCUACCAAGGCGACGAUGCGUAGCCGACCUGAGAGGGUGAUCGGCCACACUGGGACUGAGACACGGCCCAGACUCCUACGGGAGGCAGCAGUAGGGAAUCUUCCACAAUGGACGAAAGUCUGAUGGAGCAAUGCCGCGUGAGCGAAGAAGGUUUUCGGAUCGUAAAGCUCUGUUGUAAGGGAAGAACACGUACGGGAGUAACUGCCCGUGCCAUGACGGUACCUUAUUAGAAAGCCACGGCUAACUACGUGCCAGCAGCCGCGGUAAUACGUAGGUGGCAAGCGUUGUCCGGAAUUAUUGGGCGUAAAGCGCGCGCAGGCGGUUCUUUAAGUCUGAUGUGAAAGCCCACGGCUCAACCGUGGAGGGUCAUUGGAAACUGGAGAACUUGAGUACAGAAGAGGAAAGCGGAAUUCCACGUGUAGCGGUGAAAUGCGUAGAGAUGUGG